CCUACGAGGUGCUGCAGUGGGGAAUAUUGCACAAUGGGGGAAACCCUGAUGCAGCGACGCCGCGUGAGUGAAGAAGUAAUUCGUUACGUAAAGCUCUAUCAGCAGGGAAGAAAAUGACUGUACCUGAGUAUGAAGCCUCGGCUAACUACGGGCCAGCAGUCGCUGUAAGACGUAGGGCGCAAGCGUUAUCCGGAUUUACUGGGUGUAAAGGUAGCGUAGACGGUGGGCCAAGUCUGGAGUGAAAUGCCGCAGCUUAACUGCGGAACUGCUUUGGAAACUGGCGAACUAGAGUGCGGGAGGGGUAAGCGGAAUUCCUAGUGUAGCGGUGAAAUGCGUAGAUAUUAGGAGGAACACCGGUGGCGAAGGCGGCUUACUGGACCGUAACUGACGGUGAGGCUCGAAAGCGUGGGGAGCAAACAGGAUUAGAUACCCUGGUAGUC
rnacentral:rRNA from 1 species